rnacentral:rRNA from 1 species
AGCAGCCGCGGUAAUUCCAGCUCCAAUAGCGUAUAUUAAAGUUGUUGCAGUUAAAAAGCUCGUAGUUGAAUUUCGGGAUCAAUUUAUCGGUCGUGCCAAUGGUAUGAACUGGUACAAUUGGUUUCUCCCUUCUGACGAAGCAUGAUGUCAUUAAUUUGGUGUCGUGGGGAAUCAGGACUGUUACUUUGAAAAAUUAGAGUGUUUAAAGCAAGCAUUAGCUUGAAUACAUUAGCAUGGAAUAAUGAAAUAGGACGUUUGAUCCUAUUUCGUUGGUUUCUAGGAUCGACGUAAUGAUUAAUAGGGAUAGUUGGGGGCAUUAGUAUUCAAUUGUCAGAGGUGAAAUUCUUGGAUUUAUUGAAGACUAACUACUGCGAAAGCAUUUGCCAAGGAUGUUUUCAUUAAUCAAGAACGAAAGUUAGGGGAUCGAAGACGAUCAGAUACCGUCGUAGU